UACGUAGGGGCGAGCGUUGUCCGGAAUGAUUGGGCGUAAAGGGCGCGUAGGCGGCUGAGUAAGUCAGUAGUGGAAGUCCAGCUUUUAAGGUUGGAAGUGCUAUUGAAACUGUGCAGCUUGAGUGCAGGAGAGGUUAUCGGAAUUCCCGGUGUAGCGGUGAAAUGCGUAGAGAUCGGGAGGAACACCAGUGGCGAAGGCGGGUAACUGGACUGCAACUGACGCUGAGGCGCGAAAGUGUGGGGAGCAAACAGGAUUAGAUACCCUGGUA
rnacentral:rRNA from 1 species